GGGAUGGGGUCGCGUCCUAUCAGCUUGACGGCGGGGUAACGGCCCACCGUGGCUUCGACGGGUAGCCGGCCUGAGAGGGCGACCGGCCACAUUGGGACUGAGAUACGGCCCAGACUCCUACGGGAGGCAGCAGUGGGGAAUAUUGCACAAUGGGCGCAAGCCUGAUGCAGCGACGCCGCGUGAGGGAUGGAGGCCUUCGGGUUGUAAACCUCUUUUAUCGGGGAGCAAGCGAGAGUGAGUUUACCCGUUGAAUAAGCACCGGCUAACUACGUGCCAGCAGCCGCGGUAAUACGUAGGGUGCAAGCGUUAUCCGGAAUUAUUGGGCGUAAAGGGCUCGUAGGCGGUUCGUCGCGUCCGGUGUGAAAGUCCAUCGCUUAACGGUGGAUCCGCGCCGGGUACGGGCGGG
rnacentral:rRNA from 1 species